AUACGUAGGGGGCAAGCGUUGUCCGGAAUGAUUGGGCGUAAAGGGCGCGUAGGCGGCCUGUUAAGUCUGGAGUGAAAGUCCUGUUUUCAAGAUGGGAAUUGCUUUGGAUACUGAUGGGCUUGAGUGCAGGAGAGGUUAUCGGAAUUCCCGGUGUAGCGGUGAAAUGCGUAGAGAUCGGGAGGAACACCAGUGGCGAAGGCGGGUAACUGGACUGCAACUGACGCUGAGGCGCGAAAGUGUGGGGAGCAAACAGGAUUAGAUACCCUGGUAGUCCACACUGUAAACGAUGAAUGCUAGGUGUAAGAGGUAUCGACCCCUUUUGUGCCGGAGUUAACACAAUAAGCAUUCCGCCUGGGGAGUACGGCCGCAAGGUUGAAACUCAAAGGAAUUGACGGGG
rnacentral:rRNA from 1 species